rnacentral:rRNA from 1 species
UACGGAGGGGGCUAGCGUUGUUCGGAAUUACUGGGCGUAAAGCGCACGUAGGCGGCUUUGUAAGUUAGAGGUGAAAGCCCGGGGCUCAACUCCGGAAUUGCCUUUAAGACUGCAUCGCUAGAAUUGUGGAGAGGUAAGUGGAAUUCCGAGUGUAGAGGUGAAAUUCGUAGAGAUCCGGAGGAACACCAAAGGCGAAGGCAGUGUCCUGGGGAGUACCUGACGCUCAGGUGCGAAAGCCAGGGGAGCGAACGGG